GGCUCUGUGGCGCAAUGGAUAGCGCAUUGGACUUCUAGUGAUUUCCUUCAGGUGCAAUUCAAAGGUUGUGGGUUCGAGUCCCACCAGAGUCA
rnacentral:tRNA from 1 species